AUAUUUUCAUUCCUCUGUUUCUGUCUUACAUUUUUUUUUUACAGGCAGAGUGGACAGUGAGAGAAAGAGACAGAGAGAAAGGUCUUCCUUUUCCGUCGGUUCACCCCACAAUGGCUACUGCGGCCUGCACGCUGCGGCUGGUGCACUGCACCGAUCCGAAGCCAGGAGCCAGGUGCUUCUCCUGGUCUUCUAUGUGGGUUCAGGGCCCAAGGAGUUGGGCCAUCCUCCACUACACUCCUGGGCCAUAGCAGAGAGCUGGACAGGAAGAGGAACAACCGGGACAGAAUCCAGCACCCCAACCAGGACUAGAACCCGGUGUGCCAGCACUGCAGACAGAGGAGUAGCCUAUUGAGCCGCGGCGCCGGCCAUGUCUUACAUUUUUUAAAUAAGUGAUUAUUUUGUAACAUAAAAAUAGUAGUCCACAAUCAAGUUUUAAAAUAAAUCUGUAAAAUCUGAAAAAAAUAGUAUCAUCACCAGUUCUUCAUAGUUUUGUGUGUUUGUGCUUCCUGGAUGGUAGCAUGGCAUGAGUCUGCUCAAGUGAUCUUCACAGUUAACCUUGUGAAGUUUCUCUUAUCCAGUUCUGAGAGGAGGCUACCAAAGCUCAGAGACCAUGGGGCAUUGUGCACAGUCAUGAGGCUAGUACGGGGCCGGGCCAUAGAACUUGCACUCAUUUACCUGCACUGUCUACUCUUGUCAUGAAUGUGGGAAUGGGGGUUCCCUUUGUUACUUGCUGAGAAUAUAUCAGAAAAGGGUGGUGGGGGGAGGAGGGGGAGAAGGAAAUGGCUAGGCUGGUAUGUUAGACUCAAGGCCAUGAGCAUGUAUUCACAUAUCUGUACAAAUGCAUAUUUUUUUCACCAAACUACAUCAUCAAAUAUGUUAAAUAGUCAACUCCUAAAUCCAAUUCAUUAAUUAUCUCGCUUAAAAUAUACUUCAAAUGUAUCACAUUUGACAUCAUAUGUCACUGAUCCUAGAUGGAAAUGAUAACACUUAAAAUCAAUAAAUGUUUUAAAUUUAUUUUGCUUAUUAUGGUU
rnacentral:lncRNA from 1 species